UAUGAAUGAAGUCAUUGGUAAAUAAAACAAUUCUUGAAUUUUGCUAUCCAUGUUAAAUCAGUUAACUACAAAGAAUGUUACACUAAUUGAUCAAUAUCUAAGCAACAUUGUUUAUUUAUGUUGCAUUGUUGUGUCAGUAUGCCCAAUGUUUUAUCCACAAUGCAUUUAUGUCAGUGUAUUAAUGCUACAUUUUAUGCCCAUGAGAUCUAGUCUUAACAUCAGUUUAGGCUUUAUGUUGCAUCAGCCAACAAACAUAUUAGAAACUUAUAAAAAUUUUAAAAAAUCACCUUAAAACCAAUAGAAAGUGCAAAAUUACAUAAAAAUUAAUGUUAGAAUAUGCGAAAUAAUAUAUAAAAUUAUAUAAAUGCUUAAAAAUAUUAUGGAAGUAUUUAUGGGGGGCUUAAAUUGUUUUCAAAGAAUUUAUUUGAUUUAAAUUGUGAAUCUUGGAAUGAAUUAACAAUGUAAGGCAAGGUAUGAUUGUAUUUGAUUAUAAUCACUUCAAAUAAACCAUAACAAUAAUUAAAUACAGUAUUGUGUAUAUAAAUAUAUACAGUAUGGUGUGCAAACAACAGGAUAUGACCCGUUUUAGGUAGGCCCUCAUAUAACUCUCCAAUAUGAUAUAGUACAAGCAAUCCACCUUUUAUCCGUUUUAAGUUACCAAUUUUAUAUAUAAUAGUUUUGUAAUAUUGAUCCUGAUACUUUUAUGUUAUUUUGAUAUUAUUAUUAUAUUAUUUUGCUAUUGUCUUAUUAAUAUUAAGUGUUAAUUUUAGUUUAGCUAUAUACUGAUCCUGUAUAUAUGAAAAGUUGUUAUAUUUUGAACGUUAUUUUAAAUUGUAUUCUAAUCUGUUAUAUUAUUCUCCUGUAACCGCAUUCUGUUCUUUUACAAUCUUAGUAACUGUA
rnacentral:lncRNA from 1 species